GAAAUGGCGUCAAAAACCAUGAUUACACUCUACUUUCUGAUUGCCUUGGCCGUGGCAGCAAGUGCUUUAGUCCAGGAAGAUGAGAUCGACAAUUCCAAUGCGUUGAGUGACGAGGAUAACCGGAUCAGCAUUGAGGAGGAGGAGGAGUUGACUGAACAUCAAAGAAUGCUGCUGGAAGGUGGCGGAGCUUAUGGGAAGUAAGCGCAUCAAAAAGUUCGAGAAGCAUACUAACAGGAUUUUGUCCACGUGCCUGUGGUCAGACGUCUUCUCUGUUUGUUGAGACUUUUGUCAAAUUGAUGAGAGAAAAAAAAUAUCAUCUGUCAUCAGUCAUCACUGACCUUAAUCCUAACCCCAACGAAAUCAUAACCUUGCCUCUAAAAUAAUUUUAAAAAUCAAUAAAUAAAUCCAUUUUGAAUCUCGUUUCAGAAGUAAAGUAUCAAUAUGCCUACAUGUAGCCCAAUAUAGUUUUGUGUUGACAACAGGUGCGUAAAUUCACUGGAAAAUGUUAUUGUUUAAUAUAAUGAGUUGAAGAGUACAAUCUUGAAAAUAAUUAUGUAGAGAAAAACAUGCAAAGGAAACCAUUGAGGUGUAUACAUUAAUGGAAAUCAAUGAUCUAAACAGUAUGUUCCGAUUGUAAAUUGUCAAAUUUUUAAUUAGCUGCUU